rnacentral:tRNA from 1 species
AGCGAGAUGGCCGAGUGGCCGAAGGCGCUCCCCUGCUAAGGGAGUAUACCUCACAAGGGUAUCUGGGGUUCGAAUCCCCAUCUCGCUGCCA